GAAACAAGCUGAAACCCAGAAGCAGAGAGUCCAGUACCAGUUGGAGCAGUUGUGCCAGUUUUUAGAGCAGCAAGAGCAGCUCUUUGUGACCUGGCUGGACGAGGUGGGCCAGACCAUUAACCACGUCAGGAAGACCUAUGGCACCCAAAUGACCAGGGACGUUGCUGUUCUCGAUGAGCUGAUUGGGGAGCUGGAGGCCAAGCAGUGCCAGCCAGAGUGGGAGCUUAUGAAAGGCCAAGAUGGUGACCGAUCCUGAGCUGUGGACCGCCCCCCCGGAGGUGAAAGAAAAGAUCCACCUGCUGUACCAGAGAUCAGAGUUUGUGGAGAGGAGCAUGAAGCACUUCUUGGAAACCCUGCGUUCAGGAAUGGACACGUUCAAUGUUCCGGAACUGAUUGGUGGUCAGGCACCCUGAGGCAACUGGCCCGCUGGGUCCCUGUGCUGUCCCCAGUGCACUCCAGAAGAAUGACCCUGACCAUAUUUCCUGAAUGUGGGGAGAACCCUGUGGGGAUGCAGUCCAUGGACCUCCAGCUAGGAAUUCUAAUUCUCUCCACAGUUGAUGUGAUUCUGGAAGCAGGAACUGCCCAUCCCAACCUCAUCUUUCAUCUGCUCUGACGAUGUGAAGAGUGUGAGACGUGCAAAAAAGCAGGACAGGUGGCCUGCGAAUCCAGAAAGAAUCCAGAGCUGAAUCAUGGCCCUGGGCUCUCCGAGCUUCCUCUCCAGGCACCAUUACUGGGAAGUGAAGGUGGGAGACAAGACAGGGUGGGUCCUGGGUGUCUGCAGGGCAUCCGGGAGCAGGAAGGAGAAUAUGACUCCGUCACCAGAGAAUGGCUUUUGAGGAGAGAGGAGGAGGAUGAUGCAAAAUGAGUACCAGGCGUCCACUGUUCCCUGGACCCAGAUGAGGGGCCCCAGGUGUGCAGGCAUCUUCCUGGACUGCAAGAUGCGGACAUUUCCUUUGACGAUGUGACAGCCUAAUCUCACAUCUACACAUUCACUGGCUUUUUUCCCUCUGGGCUCCUUCAACCUAUCUUCAGCCUCAAGACACAAUUGCGCGAAGAACAUGGAUCAUCUGAACAUCUUUCCAGUGAGUGGCAAGGGCCUCACUGAAUGCCCAACACCUUGCCUCUCUCUUCAGCCUCCUGGCCCUGUGUCUUGAAUUCAUACAUGCAGCAGUCAUAAUUGAACACCUACGGGGUUCCAGCUGCUGGGGGGGGGGUGAAAUGAAUAAGAGACUAUUCCUUGUGCCCAGGGACC
rnacentral:lncRNA from 1 species